UGGGGCAAAAGCCUCAACUGUAAUAGAAAUUUCCAUGGAAACACUCUCUUCUGUGAUCUAUUCUAUUGCUUCUUCUUUUAGCUCCUGUUAGAAAUACAAAACCACCACUUCAGUGAACGCUAUCUAUCUAUCUGUCUGUCUGUCUGUCUGUUUAUUUUUUAAAUUGGGGGAGGCAAGGCUAUUUCACAAGGGCAAAAAAAUACAAAAAAACAAGCCCUAAUAUUUUUGCCACACAUUUCUUCAGUUUGUUGCCCAGGAUAUACAUGUCAGUGUGUGCCACACGAUACCUGGACAAGACCCUACUGAACGACUCUUUGCACUCCUUGACCAAGAAGAAGAUAAAGGGGAAGGAAAAGCACAUGACAGAUGAGUUUCAUUUCUUCAUUUAUACCUAUGAGCUUCCUGUAAAAUGGAACAGCAUGAAUGAGGGACAAGCUGACCGCAUCUGAACACUUGGUAUCAUCAAGAAGAUAGCUACUGCCUCUUCUGGGAGGUGAAAAUUUCUGCAAGCUCUGACACCCUGGCAAGAAGAACAAGAACAGGGGCUGUUCAGGCAAGCAGUUGAUCAGGUUAACAGUGACAAUAAAGGAGUUUGACAAAGAUCAUGGAGAAAUAUGACAUGGAGAAGAAUAUGGAGAAACUGACAUUUGAUCAAAACACUACCUGUAAUUUAAUUUUGUGUAAUGCUUCAUACCUGUCAGGACGUAAGGGUAGUUGUGGUUUUAUACAUGUACGUUUUUCAUUCUAUUGUAAUUUCCACAAUCACACAGUAUUGCUAGAGUUAAAAUGAUAUUUCUGUUCUUUUCCAGACUGAAUUGCUUUUCUAGUCAGAUAUACAACUGAAUAUCUAAUAAGGGUUAUUUUUUAAAUGUAGUUCAGUAUACUUUUGUUCAAUUUGAUAUAAGAAGGGGAAGGUUGAGGGUUUUUUCCUAUAUGUGAACGAACUUUUUAUCUUCUGAAUCGAAGACACGGCCAUUCUAGUUGCAGUAUAGUUCUUUUGAGAUGAUGGUGAUAGGAACAAUGCAGAAUAUACAUGUUUAUUUACAAUUUUGUUGUCAGUAUUUCUUACCAUCCUUAAUUAUCAUGGGUCUUCAAGAAUUUACACACUGAAGUCCAACUUCAGAAUGAAUGGGACUACUCCCAUUCAGAAAUAAGCAGAUUCAAGAGCAGACUGUGUGAGUGUAAGCCAAUGAAACCAAAAAUAUUUCUGACAUUCCCCACUAGAUGUGUUCUACACUGCUGUGACAUUUGAUCAAGGUGUGAUAACUGCACAGAUAAGAAGUAUGGGUGUAGGGUGUGGUUGUUUGUAUUGGAGCAAUUUAUAAGAUGAUUAGAGGAGAGAAAAACUGUCCAAUAUGUUUUUAGCUCGUGCUUUCUAAGCUUAUGGUGAAACAAAGGCUAGAUUAAUGUUGAUUUGGAGUUAGAAACAAUACAAACAUGACUAUGCUAACAUACUGCUGUCAUUGUAAUAGUACUAAAAUCAUCCCUUGUCUCUAAGUGCAACUAAAAUAUCAUUCUGACUUCUGAAUGAGAAAAUCAUAAAUAUUUUAAAAGAAUUUUUGUUCCAGAUGCCCUAUUUCUCUGUCUUCUCUGUUAAGUAGUUACUGAACAAAAAAUAAAACAUGGCUGUUAAAUGUGCCAAUAAGAA